ACUUAAAUUGAAGAGUUUGAUCAUGGCUCAGAUUGAACGCUGGCGGCAGGCCUAACACAUGCAAGUCGAGCGGUAGCACAGAGAGCUUGCUCUCGGGUGACGAGCGGCGGACGGGUGAGUAAUGUCUGGGAAACUGCCUGAUGG
rnacentral:rRNA from 1 species